rnacentral:rRNA from 1 species
UACAGAGGUCUCAAGCGUUGUUCGGAUUCAUUGGGUUUAAAGGGUGCGUAGGCGGACCUGUAAGUCAGUGGUGAAAUCUCUCAGCUUAACUGAGAAACUGCCAUUGAUACUGCAAGUCUAGAGUAUAGAUGACGUUGGCGGAAUAUGACAUGUAGUGGUGAAAUACUUAGAUAUGUCAUAGAACACCGAUUGCGAAGGCAGCUAACGAAACUAUAACUGACGCUGAGGCACGAAAGUGCGGGGAUCAAACAGG